rnacentral:rRNA from 1 species
GGCGUGUACUGCUCUGCUGGGCCUUACCUCUUGGUGAGCCGGCGUGGCCUUAACUGGUUGCGUCGGGGAACCAGGACUUUUACCUUGAGAAAAUUAGAGUGUUCAAAGCAGGCCUAUGCCUGAAUACAUUAGCAUGGAAUAAUAAAAUAGGACGUGCGGUUCUAUUUUGUUGGUUUCUAGAGUCGCCGUAAUGAUUAAUAGGGAUAGUUGGGGGCAUUGGUAUUGAGUCGCUAGAGGUGAAAUUCUUGGAUUGACUCAAGACCGACUACUGCGAAAGCAUUUGCCAAGGAUGUUUUCAUUAAUCAAGGACGAAGGUUAGGGGAUCGAAAACGAUCAGAUACCGUUGUAGUCUUAACAGUAAACUAUGCCGACUAGGGAUCGGGCGACCUCAAAUUUGAUGUGUCGCUCGGCACCUUACGAGAAAUCAAAGUUUUUGGGUUCUGGGGGGAGUAUGGUCGCAAGGCUGAAACUUAAAGGAAUUGACGGAAGGGCACCACCAGGUGUGGAGCCUGCGGCUUAAUUUGACUCAACACGGGGAAACUCACCAGGUCCAGACAUAACUAGGAUUGACAGAUUGAUAGCUCUUUCAUGAUUUUAUGGGUGGUGGUGCAUGGCCGUUCUUAGUUGGUGGAGUGAUUUGUCUGGUUAAUUCCGAUAACGAACGAGACCUUAACCUGCUAAAUAGCCAGGCCGGCUUCUGCUGGUCGCAGGCUUCUUAGAGGGACUGUCAG